UACAGAGGGUGCAAGCGUUGUUCGGAAUCAUUGGGCGUAAAGGGCGUGUAGGCGGUUUGUUAAGUCAUGUGUGAAAUCCCUCGGCUCAACCGGGGAACGACGCAUGAAACUGGCAAGCUAGAGUACCAAAGAGGGGGGUGGAAUUCCCGGUGUAGCAGUGAAAUGCGUAGAUAUCGGGAGGAACAUCUGUGGCGAAGGCGACACCCUGGACCAGCACUGACACUGAGGCACGAAAGCGUGGGGAGCAAACAGG
rnacentral:rRNA from 1 species